rnacentral:rRNA from 2 species
CCAAUAGCGUAUAUUAAAGUUGUUGCAGUUAAAAAGCUCGUAGUUGAAUUUCGGGAUCAGUACGCUGGUCAUGCCUUUGGUAUGCACUGGUGUCACUGGUUUCUCCCUUCUGAAGAUCCGUGAUGUCAUUAAUUUGGUGUCGCGGGGAAUCAGGACUGUUACUUUGAAAAAAUUAGAGUGUUUAAAGCAGGCUCACGCUUGAAUACAUUAGCAUGGAAUAAUGAAAUAGGACGUUUGACCCUAUUUUGUUGGUUUCUAGGAUCGACGUAAUGAUUAAUAGGGAUAGUUGGGGGCAUUAGUAUUCAAUUGUCAGAGGUGAAAUUCUUGGAUUUAUUGAAGACUAACUACUGCGAAAGCAUUUGCCAAGGAUGUUUUCAUUAAUCAAGAACGAAAGUUAGGGGAUCGAAGACGAUCAGAUACCGUCGUAGUCUUAACCAUAAACUAUGCCGACUAGGGAUCGGAUGAUGUUAAUUUUAUAAUGACUCAUUCGGCGCCUUACG